GGAGCUUGCUCCCGGAUGUUAGCGGCGGACGGGUGAGUAACACGUGGGUAACCUGCCUGUAAGACUGGGAUAACUCCGGGAAACCGGAGCUAAUACCGGAUAGUUCCUUGAACCGCAUGGUUCAAGGAUGAAAGACGGUUUCGGCUGUCACUUACAGAUGGACCCGCGGCGCAUUAGCUAGUUGGUGGGGUAAUGGCUCACCAAGGCGACGAUGCGUAGCCGACCUGAGAGGGUGAUCGGCCACACUGGGACUGAGACACGGCCCAGACUCCUACGGGAGGCAGCAGUAGGGAAUCUUCCGCAAUGGACGAAAGUCUGACGGAGCAACGCCGCGUGAGUGAUGAAGGUUUUCGGAUCGUAAAGCUCUGUUGUUAGGGAAGAACAAGUGCGAGAGUAACUGCUCGCACCUUGACGGUACCUAACCAGAAAGCCACGGCUAACUACGUGCCAGCAGCCGCGGUAAUACGUAGGUGGCAAGCGUUGUCCGGAAUUAUUGGGCGUAAAGGGCUCGCAGGCGGUUUCUUAAGUCUGAUGUGAAAGCCCCCGGCUCAACCGGGGAGGGUCAUUGGAAACUGGGAAACUUGAGUGCAGAAGAGGAGAGUGGAAUUCCACGUGU
rnacentral:rRNA from 1 species